AAGGAUCAUUAGUGAAUACUAGGACGUCCAAUUUAACUUGGAGUCCGAACUCUCACAUCUAACUCUGUGCAUUUGUUUUGGUUAGUAGGACGCAAGUCUGAACCCCUCUUCAUUUACAAACACUAAGUCUAUGAAUGUUUAAAUUUUAUAACAAAACAAAACUUUCAACAACGGAUCUCUUGGCUCUCGCAUCGAUGAAGAACGCAGCGAAAUGUGAUAAGUAAUGUGAAUUGCAGAAUUCAGUGAAUCAUCGAAUCUUUGAACGCAUCUUGCACUCUCUGGUAUUCCGGAGAGUAUGUCUGUUUGAGUGUCAUGAAUUCUUCAACCCUCCCUUUUCUUAGUGAAUUGAGAGGAGUUUGGAUUCUGAGUGUUGCUCCUUACCCGAGCUCAUUCGUAAUAUAUUAGCAUCCAUAUUCGAAUUUCGGAUUGACUUGGCGUAAUAGACUAUUCGCUGAGGAAUCUAACUUCGGUUAGAGCCGUAUUUGAAAAAGGAAGCUGCUAAUCUAGCAUAGUCUACUUUUAGAUUAGAUCUCAAAUCAGUCAG
rnacentral:rRNA from 1 species